rnacentral:rRNA from 1 species
CUGAUCCCGUCCCGAACUCAGAAGUGAAACGACGCAUCGCCGAUGGUAGUGUGGGGUCUCCCCAUGUGAGAGUAGGUCAUCGUCAAGC